UAACUUGACUGUCAGUUUUGAGUUUGUAACUGUUGUAUUGUAAACAAUAUUCGCAUUCGAGAUGCUGUAUUAGGCAAACAAUUUGAUUAUCCGAUUGCAAUAUAUCUAUUAUCAAACCAUAGAACAUUUCGUUGCAUACUUGGUAUUUCGCUAUCAGUCCCGGCCGAAAGCUUGUGUUAUUUAUUUUCAUAUGGUUUAUAUAUUUGAUUGAAUCUGGUAGAUCCCGGAUCAGGAGUAAAUUACUUAGAGAUUUUUUGUGUAUGUGCUUUGACGAAACGAUAUCUACCGUACCAAUUUCGUAUGAAUGGUCAAGGAUAGUGGUUAUCUGUGCUAGAUUCAGGAGCUUAGCAAAGCUGUUUGUUAAAUUGAUGAAAUUGUUGCAUGUCUUCGCUUGGGAUUUCGACUCCUUGAAUUUCGCUUCGAAGCGUAAGCAACUAUGAUUAACAACUGGCCCAUCCUGACGAAUUAUGUAGGGAUAAUGAGAGAUGUGAUGGAAUUUAUUGAUCGUUAAUCUGAUUCAAUGUUAGCUUAUUGGAGAAACUAUAAUAAGUUAUUUUCAUGAGAGCUCUAAGCAAUGAUGAUAAAUUUGAAUUAAAUCCGAGAAUCUGGUUGAACAUAAAAGGGAAUGCUCGAAGGAGAAGCCAACAUUGCGAAGCUGACUGAGGAAUAGCAUGUCCACGUGCUUCUAACUUCUCGCAAGUAAAAUUAGCGUUUGAGGACUGGAAAGCAUCGGUCCAUUUCAUCACAAAUAUGUUCUGCUACUGAUGCCGAUGCAAGCAUUACUCGGAGCAAUUGAGCCCGCUCUACAAGUUCAGUUGAAACGGACUCUUCUACAGGCAUAGUUCCUC